rnacentral:rRNA from 1 species
GACGGAAGGUGCAAGCGUUGCUCGGAAUCACUGGGCGUAAAGGGUGCGUAGGCGGCUGUGCAAGUCUGGCGUGAAAGCCCCGGGCUCAGCCCGGGAAGUGCGCUCGAAACUGCGCGGCUCGAGUGCCGGAGGGGAGAGUGGAAUUCCUGGUGUAGCGGUGAAAUGCGUAGAUAUCAGGAGGAAUACCGGUGGCGAAAGCGACUCUCUGGACGGCAACUGACGCUGAGGCACGAAAGCGUGGGGAGCGAACAGG